rnacentral:misc_RNA from 1 species
GGCUCUCAGCUCACGCGAUCAGUGAAUCAGUCUAAUUUGACCAACUUCCGAGGUCAGUGCACGUCCGUGUUUAUGUGAGCCUUCAUAAGCUGGGGCGCACAAAUAUAAGUGGAUAUAAUACGAGACUGACUGGUACAUUUUAACGGCAGUAAAACGAUGUAUGCUAUUGUUGAAUUCGUGGUUGGCGAGAAGCGAGAAUGUGCAUUAGUGCCAGUUUUGUGGCUGGUGGAUAAUAAUACCAUCUGCUACUGGCCACGCACGAAGAAUGAGGAGCAUUUCCUAAAAUUAGUCAAAUCAAAGGCAAUAUAUCAGAAAACAUGGCCCAAGUAUCCUGUUCACAACGUUCUGCAUACUGGAGAAAGCUUCGACGCACUACAAAAGACGAUGACGCACAUCAUAGAACACGGUACAUCCGAGGAAGAUGGCACAGUUUACACCAUUAGUAAGAAAUCCACAGGGCAUUGUUAUGAAAGAGAGUCGCAGAGCAAUGAUGAAGAUGAAGAGGGCAAUGAUGAAGCUGUCGUACGUGAAAAUAUAUCCAAAAAGCGUAAACAUACAAAGAAAUCCAAGAAGAGCAAAAAAAAAAGAAGGUAAAGCGUCAACGUGAGACGUCUUCAGAUACUGCAGAUGAUACAUCAUCAGUUGAUGAAAAUUCUCCACCAACACACCAUCCCACUUCGAACCCACGACAGAAUUUCAACAUAUCCAAUGCAUCACCUGUUAUCGUUUCUGUAAAUGGGACAGCUCGCCCUUCAGCCCACAGUUUGACAAGGUCGGUAACUGAAUAUGACCUAUCAACGUCACAAACUUUAGCCUCAACCUCGAAUUUGGUAGCUGAAGCUGCAACUGUAGUUGCAUCCCGAAAUCCACUGAGGCCCAUUGACGAGAAAGCUCUACAAUAUUUGGAACGUAUAAAAUCUUGUGUAGACCAGAAUCAACUCAUGCUGAGGAAAAUCAUAUCGAGGCAGCAAGCAACUAACGUGGACAGCGUACAAAGGCCAGAGGUAUUUCCAACGCUUCCAAUUGAAACAAUGGAAGAAUUUGCGAACCUCGAAGAACUUCUCAAAUCGAAUGAGCAUCGAAUAUACCUGACACAAAAACUAUCCUCUAUUGGAGGCACAAGUGGCCGUCAAUGCGUAUUGGCUGUUCUCAAGUCAUUACUAACAAACGAAUUAGCCAUGCAGUUCAAUUGGGCUGGUAGAGAUAAAAUUGCUUUCCAAAAGACACUGGUGAUGCAAGUUAUUUACGAUGCUGUUAAAGCUACUUUCCAUGGUAAGGAAUUAGUAAGCGAUAUCAAGGAAGCGAAUAUUGCAGCUGCAGUUAAAGAUUGGUUGAAACUCGCUCGAUCGCGAUACUCCUCGAAAUAAUGUGUCAAUACUUUUUCUAACUCACUCUGCCAGGAUUGUGAUUUUUUUUCAAGUCCCAAGAGAAAGCUAACGAUUUUCCUCAUUGAGGUGUAUCCACUGUAUAAUUAGUUUGUUUUAUGUUUCAUUCGUUGUCAAACCACUCGUAUCCGAUACAAGUUUUUGUUUGUUUAGAUUUACUUAAGUUUACUGUAUGUUGUACUUCUAUACUCAAGUCCGGAGUAGAUGAAAGAUAACGAUUUUCCUCAUUGAGGUACAAUCAUUGUAUGAUUAUUUUGUUUCAUGUUUUAUUUGUUAUCAAAGUACUCGUAUCGGAUACAAGUUUUUGUUUGUUUAUAUUUACGUAAGUUUACUAUUUGCUAUAGCUACUAUACUCUU